AGAGUUUGAUCCUGGCUCAGAAUCAACGCUGGCGGCGUGCCUAACACAUGCAAGUCGAACGCGAAAGCCCCGCAAGGGGUAAGUAGAGUGGCAAACGGGUGAGUAACACGUGGGUGACCUGCCUUCGAGUGGGGGAUAACGUCCCGAAAGGGACGCUAAUACCGCAUAACAUCCUGCCUUUGAAGAGGUGGAGAUCAAAGCUGGGGACCGCAAGGCCUAGCGCUCAAAGAGGGGCCCGCGCCUGAUUAGCUAGUUGGUGGGGUAAUGGCUCACCAAGGCAACGAUCAGUAUCCGGCCUGAGAGGGCGGACGGACACACUGGGACUGAGACACGGCCCAGACUCCUACGGGAGGCAGCAGUGGGGAAUUGUUCGCAAUGGGCGCAAGCCUGACGACGCAACGCCGCGUGGAGGAUGAAGACCUUCGGGUCGUAAACUCCUUUCGAUCGAGACGAACAGCUUCCGGGUGAACAAUCCGGAGGUUUGACGGUACCGAGAGAAGAAGCCCGGCUAACUUCGUGCCAGCAGCCGCGGUA
rnacentral:rRNA from 1 species